GAUGAACGCUGGCGGCGUGCCUAAUACAUGCAAGUCGAGCGAACAGACGAGGAGCUUGCUCCUCUGACGUUAGCGGCGGACGGGUGAGUAACACGUGGAUAACCUACCUAUAAGACUGGGAUAACUUCGGGAAACCGGAGCUAAUACCGGAUAAUAUAUUGAACCGCAUGGUUCAAUAGUGAAAGACGGUUUUGCUGUCACUUAUAGAUGGAUCCGCGCCGCAUUAGCUAGUUGGUAAGGUAACGGCUUACCAAGGCAACGAUGCGUAGCCGACCUGAGAGGGGGAUCGGCCACACUGGAACUGAGACACGGUCCAGAGUCCUACGGGAGGCAGCAGUAGGGAAUGUUCCGCAAUGGGCGAAAGCCUGACGGAGCAACGCCGCGUGAGUGAUGAAGGUCUUCGGAUCGUAAAACUCUGUUAUUAGGGAAGAACAAAUGUGUAAGUAACUAUGCACGUCUUGACGGUACCUAAUCAGAAAGCCACGGCUAACUACGUG
rnacentral:rRNA from 1 species